GUGGGGUUGGCCCCCACCUCAGUAGCAUCAUCCGGUCAAAGGGUGACUGUGAGGGUGGCGCGCUCUGUCACGACCGGAGCAUCCUCCGGUCAGAGUGUGAGGGUGAGACUCUCACAGGGAGGCCGUGGAUUCUCCCUCUCUGGAGACAUCCAGACCCCCUGGGCGCGUUCCUUUUUCACCUUGCCUUGGCAGAGAGUUGGACUGGGUGGUCUCAGGGGUCUCUUCCAACCCUAAGGACUGUGAUUCUGUGGGGCUGCAGCGGCCUCUGUCGCGACAGGAGCCUCAUCCAUCACGAGUGUGCAGAGGUGAGGGCCGUGCGCCUCGGGGCUGUGGCAGGGGUCACUCCGCAGAGGUCCUGCCCUGUGCUGGCACUGAGCAGUGUCCCCAGUUGCCGUCGCACACGUCCCGGUGACAGCACACUCAGCCCCGGCGAUAACGUGAGGAGGAAUAAACUGCACGCUGUGUUUUCAGCGCGGGUGUGGGGUGAGGUACCAGCUUCCCUCAGCACCGUGCCUCGGCUCUGGCACAGGAACCGACAGCACAGAAAACUGACUGAUCCAUCCAAUCCCACCCGGUAAUUUAUGGGAACUUCAGUGUACACAAACUGGAGAGAAAUCAGCGCCAACUGACAUUAAUACACCUGCAACACACACGCACAACACAGCGAGCGGCAUAAAUACCUUGAAAACUUGGUUCCAAGCGAUGUUCUUGUGUACAUAUGCCUGUGCAAAUACCAGAUUUGAUCCCUACAUGUGUGCUGGCUUACAUAAAUGCAGAUCUUACAUACAAUCUGCAUUUCCACAACUUAUAAACCACCCACUGCACCAUGAUAUAAGAAACUGCGUGUUUGAUCUGGAAUGAAAUAUUUCAGUCUUACCUCUGUGCUGGAAAAUGGAUGGAGAGGGGACAACCCAUUUAAAAUUAUGGUGUUCUAGGGUAUGUUUGGCCCUUUAUCCUUCCUAACAAAAGUAUAACUGCUUGAAAAGGCUCCUCUGUGAAUGGCCAAGGUCCAAGGAAGGAUAACUUGACAGCCUACACUUCACAGGGCAGUUCUGAAUGAAAAUUCUUGAGCUAGAUCUGAUGACCUAGUUCAGGUAAAGCAAUUACUUAUUCCAUGCCAUGCCCAUAUUAAUUUCAUCUUGCUUAUCAGCAGGAUUAAUCAGCAUGGCCAAAUGUUGCAUCAGUACAGUUAUGUUGCUUUUCAUACCUCACACUACACCUAAAUAGACUUAGCCUGUUACAGAGGUGAAGAAUGUCAACAUGACAGGUGCAUAUAAUUGAUGCAAUUUACUGUAAUUUUUCUAAGCAGUUUUAAUAAUUUUCUUGAUAUGGUAUGAACCCAUGAUGCCACCAUCCCCAAAACAUGUGUACAUAUGCAUAUGCAACAUUAAAAAUACAUGAUUUCCACAAUAAUUCCAUAUGGAAUAAUGCCAGCUACUUGAAUUAAUGUAUUUCACUAACAGUUCAGUAUAUCUCUAUGGACAGUUUUUUUUCCUUCUACCACAUUAAUAAAACCUGGAUUAUAUAUGUUUUUUUGGUAUAAAAACAUUUUCCAAGCAUUAUUUUUAUACACAAGCAUACUUACUAGCUUUCAUAUACAAAUGCACAUGUAAUGGACUUGAAAGUCCUGCCUUUCAUUUUCCUACUAAUUUAAAGUAUUUCAAUUAAGCAUCUGUAACAAUUUUCAAAACAAAAUGAUACCAGAAAGAAACCCAGCUCACAUUUUCAAACUAUUUCUCCCUGUGUUGUAUUUCCUAUGUCAUUCUUGGUUUCCUUUUUGUGCCUGUUUCCUAAAGGCCUUAUGGAAAAUCAUUUUAAGCAUACCAGAGGCAUGGCACAUGCAAUUAGAUCUUGGCAGAGGGUAAAAUAAAGUAGAUACUGUGUUCUUUCUAUCUGACUUGUUAACAGGAAGAAAUGCUGCUAGGAAGGCAAACAGAGUCUGAAUUCUAGCAAAUCCUGGAGAACUCUUGGCAUUCUCUGGGGUUCACUAGUUCAACUAGAGUUUGACAGCUCCCAUUCGUUGUUUAUCCUCCAUUCAAUACAGAGGACUUGAUUCUUCCCCCUUUAUUCCACCCCAUAUAAAAUCUGGAAAGAACCUGGAAGCACAGACCUCUGCCUGUGUUUAUUUCUGUCACGUGUUCUGUUAUGGCUCAGUGAAUUUUGAGAGAAGAAUGACUGAAUUAAGGACUGUUCUACAGUUCUUUCUCUUCCAGAGCAGAGUAACCUCUUCAUUUUCUUCACAGUCCUUUCCCUGUCUUUCCCUAGAAGUGCAGGACCACUGCUGCUGCUGAGGAUUCCUUUGCAGGUGAUACCUUCCAAAUCCUCUGACAGCUACACAUUUGAAAUACAUUUGCAGAUACAAUUCAUGGUCUAGACAGCACAGCACAGAACGAGCUACAAAUACCCAUCUAGACACUGCAGCAGAAGCAGUACCUGCUAAAUUUGGCAUCACUUGAGAUCAUACAAAUUUAGAAUUGUGAGUUGAAAUCAGUGUUGUUUCCCAUCGCUCUGCAAGGAUUCAUAAGGCUUUCCAUGACAUUUGUCUUGUCUCUUAAAGAAGAUGGUUAUCUAAAGGAGAUGGUUAUCUAAAGAUGGCUGUUUUGACCCACAUCAAUGUGACAGCACCUCAGCUCUGCCUGAAGCAAACAAGCUCAUGAAAGCUUCCAAGCAGGUGCAAAAAGCUUUACAUUCUCCAUUUUUAAGGAAGGAAAUAAAUUCAUUUUGCUGCUGCAAAGUUGCAGUUUGCUAGUAGAGUGGAACCCCUUAGAGUGGUACCUGGGAAAGAAGCACAACAAAAUGGGGCAGUUUUGGCCUUGUUGAGAUUCCAUUCACGUAAUGGAAGUGUAUAUUCUUACAUUUGGCCUACUAUCUUUUUUCACUGUAAUAUAUUAAGAAGAAGCAGCCAACACAUCAGGCAGCAGCAUUAAAACAGUUCCUGUAAUGCUUACUAAUUGAAGUAAAUGGGAAUUUGGCCUGAGAGAGGACUGCAGGAUGCUUUCCUUCAAAUUGCAAUAACAUUAAGUCAUCCCUACUGCUGCAAAGCAGAUUCACAGCAGAGUUACUGGUCAUAAUGUGAAUUGUCUCUUGCUGUACACAAACACAUAUGUUUUCUAGCUCCAUUUUCAAACAAGAUUAAUAGUUUUGAGUGGAGCUAAACUCAGCAUGGAAGAGCACAUCAUAAAAUGCCAGUUGUUGAUCCAAAACACAUGAAUGCUGUCCUGCAAUAGGAUCUCUUUCAGUGAACAUAGACAAAGUGAGAAUAUUCUGCUUAAUUGUGCCAAAUUAUGUCAUAAUUUUUGCAGACUGGCUGAUUGCCUAAUGGGGCUUGUGUUGAGACCACCAAACUCACUGCUCUCAUCACCCUGGCUGAUUUCAAGUACAAGACUUAGUGAGUGACAAAUGGGGGCAUUGUUUCUUCCUCCCACAGUACUAUUUUAUUCCUCUGAAAUUACAGUUAUUAAAAUGUUUCAGCCAGUUGAAAUCUACCAAGGCAUAUUAAAAUGCUGCAAAAGUGCUGUAUCAAAGUGGAAAGGUUUUAAAUCUGCAGUUCUGUCAUAGGAUAAUGCAGUUUAAAUAUAGUAACUAUUUUUUCCAGUCAGCUUGCUCUUUGAAUUCAUGGUAUUAUGUCAAAGGGUUUUUUUUUUCCUCUCCCCCUUUAAGAAGCUUAUAGCUUAAACAGCAAAAUGCAAAAAAUACUGAGAUGAAACAGUUACACAAACCCAGCAGAGGAAUAAGUGAUAAAAUAUGGUUUGAAUGUUGAUAAUUAAGAUAAUCUGAGUUUAUUCUGAAUAAUUUUUAUUCCCAGGCAAUGUGUGUUCCUGUAUCAGCAGCAGGUAGAAUUUGACUUCCACAGAGACUGAGAGACUGUGAAGACGAAGGGUGGUGUUGCUGCUGGGAGAUUUCUAGAACUGGAUCUCUGUUCCUGCACAAAUCAGCUCCUUGCUGCCUUGGAAGUGUAAAGAGGCAGCGAGACAGAGUCUGAUCUCAGUGACAGUAACUGUGAGAGAUCACAGUUUGGCUUGGUAGAUUUCUUAUUUUAUUUCUAUAUGCUAUUCAUGGUCAUUUGGUUCUUCUCUGACGACUCCAGUGGAGUAUUUGCCACAAUAAUCUCAAUUUCCCUGCUUGGAAAAAUCUGUGUAUCCCAUGCUGGUGUCAGUAGGAGAUCUAGGUGUAUGGGAGAGAGAAACAUUUUAUCAGAACCAACGUCCAUCAUACAUGUCUGAAAAAAUAAUUUCUCCUUAUUUUGAUGGUGAGUCAGUUCCCUGGAAAAGAAAUCAGCUGGACUGUUAUUUUAAAAAAUGCACAGCAACUUUAGAAAUAAAGCACUGGUUGGUGCCCACGUGAUUUGAAUUCUUAUCUCAUCCUGACCUGAUUUUUCCAUCUAAUUACGGUCUAAUUCUGAUUAAUUUGGCAGCUCGCUGCCAUUUUUUUUUCUUGUGUAAAUAUUCCUUGUGGGCUUCUGGAUUUCAGUUUUGCUCUCUGUAGAUGGGGCUGGGAGGUUGUAGGAGGCUGCAUGGCCAAGCACAAUGUUUAGAAAAUGGUAAUUUUGUAGGGUGUUACAGAAUUGCCCUGUAUUUUCUCUCUGUAACAAGGUGAGGGUGUCAUAGCUGUGAUCAUGUGCAGUAUUUACCUGCAGAGCUUCAUUUGAGAGUGCACUUAAUAGUGCAAUAGAAAGUGGAAUUACUUUAGUCGUGGUCAUGGGCCACCAAUUCCUGAGCAAGGGAGUUACUCAGGCUUUAUACAAUAAGAUUCUGGUUUAAGUAAACCAUCUGAAUUACUUGGUUUUAAAACUUCUUUUGUUUUUUAAUCUUUUGAUCCUAUCAGAGGCAGUAAUCAAGGUGUUUGCACAACAAUGAAUAUUUCCCUUUUCUCAGAGUUCUUGCACGGUGCCAUGAACAGUUCUGCCAUGGCAUGGGCUUCUGCCAUUCCAAGUAUUUGCUGAAUCACAAGGAAAAGUCACGCUCUCCCUGAUUUUUCAAGAUUGAAAGGAAGACAUGCAGGUGCACUCCAUGUAGGAGCCUCCUGAGUGGAUUUACCCAACCCUGGUGUGAUGCUGGAGCCUGAGCAAUGAUUCCAUGUGUCUUCUGUCAUGUGACACACAGCUACAGGUGUCAGCAAGAGGACUGGAAGAAUGGAUCGUGUUCCCUGAAAUGCAGCUGGAGAAUGAGGGCAGCUGAGGCCACCCCAGACCUCAGGAGAUUGAUAGUGUUGGCAGCUGAGGAUCUAAUUAUGGAUUAUUUGGGUCGGACUCUUUUAUCCCAGGCAGAGCCCAAACCAGACUGGCACAGCCUGCAAUCCUUAAACUGACCAUAAACAAGACACAUGGUAAGGUAGGGUUUAUUACAUAUUUUAAAUUUUCACUGCUCAAGAGAUUGAAAAAUAUUGUCUACUUGAAUUACAUAAUAACCCACAAUUGGAUUGCAGUAUUUUGGUGUUUUCCACAGCUUCUUGUGUGAGCAUUUUUUAAAUCUCCCUGUUCUAUUAUUUCACCUCAUAUUACCUAUCAAUACACAGAACAUGUACAGUGUGUCUGGGAGUUAUUGUGGCAUUAAAUAGAAGUCACAAAGUCAGUGUAAAUGAUGGGGUGCACUAAUUAGGGCAGUCUGAUUUCCCUUUGUUUACUCCAAAAUCCCAUGGAGGAACUCAGGAGGGAUCUGUCCAAGACAUUACAUCAGGAAAGAGGCUCAGUCUGAUUUAUCCCAUCGUGUAGGCGACACAUUGCCAGAACUAUAUGUUCCACUUUAACAGAUGCAUACGUUCUCAGAGGGGAGGACAAUGAGUUGAUGCAGGAAAAAGCAUUCCCUGGAAAACCAAAAGCCCAGGUGAUCAUUCUGUAUCUUGGUAUUUCAUUUUCUGAGACUCACAUGAAGGAGAGGAGCACGACCCUGCUGCCAGAGUAACCAGAAGUUAUGAGUAUUAAUUUCCUGCCUUCCAGCACUGAUUGCCUGGUAGGCAUUUCUGAAGUGAUAAAAUUCUGUCUUGUUUUCUGCUGUUUAACUUUGUGAUCACUCAACAUCCAUUAGAGGAGCAGGUUUUGAUGAAGGGAAGAUUUCACCUUGG